rnacentral:rRNA from 1 species
GACGGGGGGUCCAAGCGUUGUUCGGAAUCAUUGGGCGUAAAGCGUGUGCAGGUGGCUCUGUAAGUUGGAUGUGAAAGCCCCGGGCUCAACUCGGGAAGUGCAUUCAAAACUACAAAGCUUGAGUAAGGAAGAGGGUCGUGGAAUUCCAGGUGUAGUGGUGAAAUACGUAGAUAUCUGGAGGAACACUGGUGGCGGAAGGCGGCGACCGUGGUCCUAUACUGACACUCAUACACGAAAGCGUGGGAGCAAACAGGG